rnacentral:miRNA from 1 species
UUGAGUGCAUCUGAAGUUGUAA